AUUGAACGCUGGCGGCAUGCCUUACACAUGCAAGUCGAACGGCAGCACGGGUGCUUGCACCUGGUGGCGAGUGGCGAACGGGUGAGUAAUACAUCGGAACAUGUCCUGUAGUGGGGGAUAGCCCGGCGAAAGCCGGAUUAAUACCGCAUACGAUCUACGGACGAAAGCGGGGGACCUUCGGGCCUCGCGCUAUAGGGUUGGCCGAUGGCUGAUUAGCUAGUUGGUGGGGUAAAGGCCUACCAAGGCGACGAUCAGUAGCUGGUCUGAGAGGACGACCAGCCACACUGGGACUGAGACACGGCCCAGACUCCUACGGGAGGCAGCAGUGGGGAAUUUUGGACAAAGGGCGAAAGCCUGAUCCAGCAAUGCCGCGUGUGUGAAGAAGGCCUUCGGGUUGUAAAGCACUUUUGUCCGGAAAGAAAUCCUUGGCCCUAAUACGGUCGGGGGAUGACGGUACCGGAAGAAUAAGCACCGGCUAACUACGUG
rnacentral:rRNA from 1 species